rnacentral:rRNA from 1 species
CUACCUGUUUUUUGUCGGGGACUACGCCACUCUUAACUGGGGGGCGCUAGGACGCGGCUCGUUUACUUUGAAAAAAUUAGAGUGUUCAAAGCAGGCCUUUGCUUGAAUACAUUAGCAUGGAAUAAUGGAAUAGGACUUUGGUUCUAUUUUGUUGGUUUCUGGAACCGAAGUAAUGAUUAAUAGGGAUAGUUGGGGGCGUUUAUAUUUCCAUGUCAGAGGUGAAAUUCUUGGAUUUUGGAAAGAUAAACUUCUGCGAAAGCWUUCGCCAAGGAUGUUUUCAUUAAUCAAGAACGAAA